rnacentral:rRNA from 1 species
AGAGUUUGAUCCUGGCUCAGAACGUACGCUGGCGGCACGCCUAACACAUGCAAGUCGAACGAAGUAGCAAUACUUAGUGGCAGACGGGUGAGUAACAUGUAGGUAUCUACCCUUUGGCCUGGAAUAACACGAGGAAACUUGUGCUAAUACCGGAUAAGUCUUUACGGAGAAAGCUUUAUGCACCAUUGGAUGAGCCUGCACUUGAUUAGUUUGUUGGUGGGGUAAUGGCCUACCAAGACUUUGAUCAAUAGCUGAUUUGAGAGGAUGAUCAGCCACAUUGGGACUGAGACACGGCCCAAACUCCUACGGGAGGCAGCAGUGGGGAAUCUUGCACAAUGGAGGAAACUCUGAUGCAGCGAUGCCGCGUGAGUGAAGAAGGCCCUUGGGUUGUAAAGCUCUUUCGUCGGGGAAGAAAAUGACUGUACCCGAAUAAGAAGGUCCGGCUAACUUCGUGCCAGCAGCCGCGGUAAUACGAAGGGACCUAGCGUAGUUCGGAAUUACUGGGCUUAAAGAGUUCGUAGGUGGUUGAAAAAGUUGGUGGUGAAAUCCCAGAGCUUAACUCUGGAACUGCCAUCAAAACUUUUCAGCUAGAGUUUGAUAGAGGAAAGCAGAAUUUCUAGUGUAGAGGUGAAAUUCGUAGAUAUUAGAAAGAAUACCAAUUGCGAAGGCAGCUUUCUGGAUCAUUACUGACACUGAGGAACGAAAGCAUGGGUAGCGAAGAGGAUUAGAUACCCUCGUAGUCCAUGCCGUAAACGAUGUGUGUUAGACGUUGGAAAUUUAUUUUCAGUGUCGCAGCGAAAGCGAUAAACACACCGCCUGGGGAGUACGACCGCAAGGUUAAAACUCAAAUGAAUUGACGGGGACCCGCACAAGUAGUGGAGCAUGUGGUUUAAUUCGAAGAUACGCGCAGAACCUUACCAACACUUGACAUGUUCGUCGCGACUUUAAGAGAUUAAAGUUUUCGGUUCGGCCGGACGAAACACAGGUGCUGCAUGGCUGUCGUCAGCUCGUGUCGUGAGAUGUUGGGUUAAGUCCCGCAACGAGCGCAACCCUCACUUUUAGUUGCCAUCAUUUAGUUGGGCACUCUGAAAGAACUGCCAGUGAUAAGCUGGAGGAAGGUGGGGAUGACGUCAAGUCCUCAUGGCCCUUACGUGUUGGGCUACACACGUGCUACAAUGGUAUCUACAACAGGAAGCAAGACGGCGACGUUAAGCAAAUCCUUAAAAGAUACCUCAGUUCGGAUUGUACUCUGCAACUCGAGUACAUGAAGCUGGAAUUACUAGUAAUCGUGGAUCAGCGUGCCACGGUGAAUGCGUUCCCGGGUCUUGUACACACCGCCCGU